rnacentral:rRNA from 1 species
GGGCCCGCACAAGCGGUGGAGCAUGUGGUUUAAUUCGAUGCAACGCGAAGAACCUUACCUACUCUUGACAUCCAGAGAACUUAGCAGAGAUGCUUUGGUGCCUUCGGGAACUCUGAGACAGGUGCUGCAUGGCUGUCGUCAGCUCGUGUUGUGAAAUGUUGGUUAAGUCCCGCAACGAGCGCAACCCUUAUCCUUUGUUGCCAGCGGUCCGGCCGGGAACUCAAAGGAGACUGCCAGUGAUAAACUGGAGGAAGGUGGGGAUGACGUCAAGUCAUCAUGGCCCUUACGAGUAGGGCUACACACGUGCUACAAUGGCAUAUACAAAGAGAAGCGACCUCGCGAGAGCAAG